UACGUAGGGCGCAAGCGUUGUCCGGAAUUAUUGGGCGUAAAGAGCUCGUAGGUGGCUUGUUGCGUCUGCCGUGAAAGCCCGUGGCUUAACUGCGGGUCUGCGGUGGAUACGGGCAGGCUAGAGGCUGGUAGGGGCAAGCGGAAUUCCCGGUGUAGCGGUGGAAUGCGUAGAGAUCGGGAAGAACAUCAGUGGCGAAGGCGGCCUGCUGGGCUGUUGCUGACGCUGAGGCGCGACAGCGUGGGGAGCAAACAGG
rnacentral:rRNA from 1 species